UACGUAGGGGGCAAGCGUUGUCCGGAAUCAUUGGGCGUAAAGCGCGUGUAGGCGGUUCGGUAAGUCGGCUGUGAAAGUCCAGGGCUCAACCCUGGGAUGCCGGUCGAUACUGCCGGACUAGAGUUCGGAAGAGGCGAGUGGAAUUCCCGGUGUAGCGGUGAAAUGCGCAGAUAUCGGGAGGAACACCAAUGGCGAAGGCAGCUCGCUGGGACGUUACUGACGCUGAGGAGCGAAAGCCAGGGGAGCAAACGGG
rnacentral:rRNA from 1 species